rnacentral:rRNA from 1 species
GAUCAUGGCUCAGAACGAACGCUGGCGGCAUGCCUAACACAUGCAAGUCGAACGAAGCCUUCGGGCUUAGUGGCGCACGGGUGCGUAACACGUGGAAUCUGCCCUUCGGUUCGGAAUAACAGUUAGAAAUGACUGCUAAUACCGGAUGAUGACGUAAGUCCAAAGAUUUAUCGCCGAAGGAUGAGCCCGCGUAGGAUUAGGUAGUUGGUAGGGUAAUGGCCUACCAAGCCGACGAUCCUUAGCUGGUCUGAGAGGAUGAUCAGCCACACUGGGACUGAGACACGGCCCAGACUCCUACGGGAGGCAGCAGUGGGGAAUAUUGGACAAUGGGCGAAAGCCUGAUCCAGCAAUGCCGCGUGAGUGAUGAAGGCCUUAGGGUUGUAAAGCUCUUUUACCAGGGAUGAUAAUGACAGUACCUGGAGAAUAAGCUCCGGCUAACUCCGUG